rnacentral:pre_miRNA from 1 species
CCGUCCACUCUUCCUGUCAAUGGUUUGAUUUGAAUGACCAAUGGCGGAUUAGUGGAUGUGA